CCUGGCCUCUAUCGGUAUCCACUCGAGCAGGAUCUGGAUCAUCUUCUCCUUAUAAAUCUUUGCUCCAAAAAUCAGAUCUGGAUCUGAUCUGAAAGAUCUUCAAAAGAUCUUCUGAAGCUGGAGCAGCAGCUUCUUGAUAAAUCUCUGCAGCCUUCUAAUCAGAGAGCCACCACACCUUGGACAAGCACCAAAUGGAUGCCCAACCUCUUAGACAUGAAGAGGGGAGGGAGAAGAGCAGAGGGGGCAUAGAGAAGUGGAG
rnacentral:lncRNA from 1 species